GCACAAGCGGCGGAGCAUGUGGAUUAAUUCGAUGCAACGCGAAGAACCUUUACCUGGGUUUGACAUGCACAGGACGACUGCAGAGAUGUGGUUUUCCCUUGUGGCCUGUGUGCAGGUGGUGCAUGGCUGUCGUCAGCUCGUGUCGUGAGAUGUUGGGUUAAGUCCCGCAACGAGCGCAACCCUUGUCUCAUGUUGCCAGCACGUAAUGGUGGGGACUCGUGAGAGACUGCCGGGGUCAACUCGGAGGAAGGUGGGGAUGACGUCAAGUCAUCAUGCCCCUUAUGUCCAGGGCUUCACACAUGCUACAAUGGCCGGUACAAAGGGCUGCGAUGCCGUGAGGUGGAGCGAAUCCUUGUUAAAGCCGGUCUCAGUUCGGAUCGGGGUCUGCAACUCGACCCCGUGAAGUCGGAAUCGCUAGUAAUCGCGGAUCAGCACGCCGCGGUGAAUACGUUCCCGGGCCUU
rnacentral:rRNA from 1 species